rnacentral:rRNA from 1 species
CAGUAGCCACGGUAAUACGAAGGGUGCAAGCGUUACUCGGAAUUACUGGGCGUAAAGCGUGCGUAGGUGGUGGUUUAAGUCCGUUGUGAAAGCCCUGGGCUCAACCUGGGAAUUGCAGUGGAUACUGGGUCACUAGAGUGUGGUAGAGGAUAGUGGAAUUUCCGGUGUAGCAGUGAAAUGCGUAGAGAUCGGAAGGAACAUCUGUGGCGAAGGCGACUAUCUGGGCCAACACUGACACUGAGGCACGAAAGCGUGGGGAGCAAACAGGAUUAGAUACCCGUGUAGUCCCUGUCUCUUAUAU